rnacentral:rRNA from 1 species
GACGAACGCUGGCGGCGUGCUUAACACAUGCGAGUCGAACGGAAAGGCCCUGCUUUUGUGGGGUGCUCGAGUGGCGAACGGGUGAGAAACACGUGAGUAACCCGCCCUUGACUUUGGGAUAACUCUAGGAAACUGGGGCUAAUACCGGAUAGGAGCUCUUGCUCCGCGGUGGGGGUUGGAAAGUUUCGGCGGUUGGGGAUGGUCUCGCCGCUUAUCAGCUGCUUUGUGGGGUAGUGGCUUACCAAGGCUUCGACGGGUAGCCGGCCUGAGAGGGUGACCGGCCACAUUGGGACUGAGAUACGGCCCAGACUCCUACGGGAGGCAGCGGUGGGAAAUAUUGCACAAUGGGCGGAAGCCUGAUGCAGCGACGCCGCGUGCGGGAUAACGGCCUUCGGGUUGUAAACCGCUUUCGCCUGUGACGAAGCGUGAGUGACGGUACUGGGUAAAGAAGCACCGGCUAACUACGUG